GAGAGAGGCUAAAGUAGAGAGGAGAGAGGAAAGAGGCUAAAGUAGAGAGGAGAGAGGCUAAAGGAGAGAGGAUAGAGGAGAGAGGCUAAAGUAGAGAGGAGAUAGGAAAGAGGCUAAAGUAGAGAGGAGAGAUGCUAAAGGAGAGAGGAGAGAGGCUAAAGUAGAGAGGAGAGAGGAGAGAGGCUAAAGUAGAGAGGAGAGAGGAAAGAGGCUAAAGUAGAGAGGAGAGAGGCUAAAGGAGAGAGGAGAGAGGAGAGAGGCUAAAGUAGAGAGGAGAGAGGAGAGAGGCUAAAGUAGAGAGGAGAGAGGCUAAAGGAGAGAGGAGAGAGGCUAAAGGAGAGAGGAGAGAUGCUAAAGUAGAGAGGAGAGAGGAGAGAGGCUAAAGUAGAGAGGAGAGAGGCUAAAGUAGAGAGAAGAGAUGCUAAAGUAGAGAGGAGAGAGGAGAGAGGAGAGAG
rnacentral:lncRNA from 1 species